rnacentral:rRNA from 1 species
UGCCUGGCGGCCUUAGCGCGGUGGUCCCACCUGACCCCAUGCCGAACUCAGAAGUGAAACGCCGUAGCGCCGAUGGUAGUGUGGGGUCUCCCCAUGCGAGAGUAGGGAACUGCCAGACAU